rnacentral:rRNA from 1 species
AAUGAACGUUGGCGGCAUGGAUUAGGCAUGCAAGUCGAGCGAGAAGUGUAGCAAUACACGGAAAGCGGCGGAAGGGAGAGUAAUACGUGGGAAUCUGCCCUUAGACCUGGGAUAGCAGCGGGAAACUGCUGGUAAUACCAGAUAAUGUCUAUGGACCAAAGGUGUGAUUCCGCCUAGGGAUGAGCCCACGUCCUAUUAGCUAGUUGGUAGGGUAAUGGCCUACCAAGGCGAUGAUGGGUAGCGGGUGUGAGAGCAUGACCCGCCUCACUGGGACUGAGACACUGCCCAGACACCUACGGGUGGCUGCAGUCGAGAAUCUUCGGCAAUGGGCGCAAGCCUGACCGAGCGAUGCCGCGUGCGGGAUGGAGGCCUUCGGGUUGUAAACCGCUGUCGAGGGGGAGCAACUUCCAUAGAGUUAUCUUUAUGGAUUGAGUGAUCCCUGGAGGAAGGACGGGCUAAGUUCGUGCCAGCAGCCGCAGUAAAAC